GCAACCACAACCACAACCUCAAUUGCAGAACUCCCUGGUAUGCAAUGAUAGCUACUCAAGCAGCCCAACACCGCAACCAAUUUCUUUUGGAUAAUUAACAUAUUCUAAUUGAAAGGAAGUAAAAUCUGUUUUCUACCAAUACAAACUAGCUGGAAGGAAAUUAUCAUUUUAACCUAGAUUGUUCAAGUCCAAUAAUCAGAAUGAAUCCUAGGAUAUAAAAAUUUUACCACCUCAAGAACAAGUGGAGAAGAAUUGUUGUCUUUUUAUUACUAACAGAAAUUUCUUCAGAAAGAAACGUUGCAAUUUCAUUAAUACAAAGCAUAAUUAUAGAUAACUUCCUUCCAAAAGUUCUUGAUAAGUGUAACUCAUAUUAUUGAUAUGCUUCCUGAAAUUUUCACAUUAAUUAAGAACAUUUUUUAAUUUUGAUUCUCUUCUAUUGCUACAGGAAUUUAGAUCAUAACCAGAACGCUAAAUGUGGCAGUCACAUCACAUUGUUUUGUUCAUAAUUUUAAGAGUGGUCAUCAUGAUUUGACCAAUUCCACUUCAGAUUCUGGCCAGUGACCAUUAUUG
rnacentral:misc_RNA from 1 species